rnacentral:lncRNA from 10 species
GGAAUUUAAAAUGUUGUAGAUUAUAUGGCUGUCAUUGUUAGAGUAAAAUCACAUAUUGUUUUGGGUUUCUACAUCUUAAGCAAAGAAGAACUAUUGCUUGGCUUUGUUUGUGAAAAUAUUUUAAAAGGUAAGUAAUGAUGUUUUUAAUAAGGCACCUAUUUUCAUUGGAAAAGUACACCUUAUGCCAAUUAUUUCAAUGAUCUUAGAAUUACUUUUUGUUGCCAUUAAGAAUACUGUUACAAUUAUUAGAUUGGUGC